ACUACUAAUUUACAUGACCGUCACAUACAACCGUUUUUUUGUAAGCACUUUCUAUUGAAGAAAUACACUGUUAUCCAUAUUCAUGUGGCUUUCCACUUCCUUAAUUUACUUCUGGAGCAAUAAAGUAUCAAUCUAAUCUUCCAAUGAACCCGGUUAACACAAAAUAUCGUACACUGCUAAUCGUCAGCUAACUAAAUGGUAGGCGAAUAGACAAUCAAGCUUGAUAUGAUAUAGUCAUGAACUAGCACUGUUCAAAGAUGUCCAACCCAAGUUCUCAAUGUCUGCAGAAAAACACAAAAGAGAAGAAACCUGCUCUCGCAAUGCAGUGUUAGGCUACCAAUAAAAUAAUUGUGAUAACUUUAAUUUAUCUUCACAGUGCCCGCUCACUAGGGAUAAUUUUCUAUAACAAAUAACGCAAUGCGUCCUCUACUUUUAUGAGGUGACCUGACGCUCAGGCCAUUGACCCUUUAGUGACACCAUCUAUAAGGGUAACACCAUUUUCAUUAUCUGGGAAAUCAUACCCUAACCUUUUGUUACAUUUACUUCUCAUGUAAUACACUUUCCCCUACAUUCAGCCUUAUAACAUACUCCAAACUUACACAAUGUACCAUCAUUAGGCUGCAGUGUCUUGGUAAAGGGGUGAAAAAUACUAAAAAAAAAUACUAGCUACUGUCAUGUGCCAAAUACCUGCUCCUGCUGCGUCUCUAGAAAUGUUCCAUACUAACCUAGCCUAUUACAGCAUAUCUCUCGCGGACGUCACCGCUCGUGACGUGAACCUGUUGUUGAGUGAAGAAGUCGUUGAGAGGCAGCAAACGUUUUGAUCCCGCAUCCUUCAUUUAUAGCUAUAAUACCGUUUGAUAAUCAAUUUGUGUAGAUAUAUGUUCAACUUAAGUUUUAGUGUUGAUAGUUUAGUUCUUUGUUAUUGUGUUUUUUAUAGUGUUUCUUUGUGUAACGCUAGUUGGCUAGUUUAGAGUAAUUUAGCGCACUCCUGUGAAGGUGGGCCACCUGAAGGACACAAUAUGAGGUGUAGAUUCCGGACGAACUGGUGGAGGACGAGGAGGAGGAGUAGGGAGAGGAUGAAGAGGGGUUGACACAAUUAAAAUAUAAGAAAAUUAAUUCAGGCUUUUAAAAUGCAUUUGAAUAUUGUUUGUUUAUACUGUAAAUCGUGUUUUUUCUUCUAUAAGCAUACACAUAAGAAGUUACAAUACACAAUACUUAGCAGCUGCCUGUUAUACUUAAAGUUGAUUUUUUUAAACAAAGAAGUUAAAUUACAUUGUUGAGUUUAAGUGUACACAUUCAGUUCAGUUUUGCACUAUAGGCUAAUAUGCAAUUUAAACUUUGUAUACAAAAAUAUCCAUUAAAUGCAUAAAUGUGACUAUAAAUUAAAGCUGAGAAAUUGAUUCUGCAUUUGGUAUGCAAAAGUUAUCAGGAUGUCGCAAGGGAACGUCCCCAUGACUUCGCAGACAAACGUCCCCUGAACGUAAUAGUUAUGAGGACGUUACAUGGACGUCCCGGGGACGUUUGUCUGCGACGUCCCCAGGACUUUCAGGGGACCCUACAAAAAAAACGUAAUGGGGGCGUUCCCUUGACGUCCUGAUAACAUUCGGGGACGUCCUGGGGACGUCAUUUUGUCAGCUGGGAUGAUGCUUUUAUAUUUGAUUUAUUAUUAUUAUGUUUUUAAUGUUUAUAAUUUUGAAAACCAGGCUAAGAAACGUAAGGGUGGGGCUGAAAAAUGGAGACAAAAAGACUUGACCUUCACUAGACUAGGUUUUAUGAUAAUUAUACUUGGAUAAUUUAGAGUGAGAUAUAGGCCUAUGCCUGAUGCCAAAACAUUUGAAAUCACAAACUACCAUACAGCCAUACGUUUAACGUGGCAAUGGUGUGUAUCAAAUCAUUGUUCAUCAUUGUUUAAUGUAUUAGGUUAAAUGUUGUGUAGCCUAUGUAGCCUAUUUAAGUUAAUUUUCUGUAAAUAUAACCUACAUAUUGAACUGAUGAGAAUAAGAAAAUUAGAAUGUCCGUGGUAAAUCAUUGUUUUCCCGUUGGGUCAGUGUUACAGGAACGUCUGGUUAAGCAACAACACGGUCUAAGCCUGACAAUUAGCCUGCCCCGGACCAGGCUAGUUUAGAAGCAUAAGUUACCAUAGCAACUGAGUUUGAACUACGUUUAGCUAGCUUUAUGGAACUGAAUGAACUAGAAAUGAGUUUAACUAACUGACAUAAGUGUGGCUUAUUCGGUAAACUCGCUUUAUGGAACAGGCCUCAGGUUUAUAACAACAGUCUUAUUUACAAGAUUCGACUGGCAACACUAAUUGAUUUAACACUGCAAAAUGUUAAUUAUAUAAAGUUCCCCCUACAUGUACACAAUCUGUACCACAGUGUUUGUCAUGAAGAACUCUCAGAGAAAGGAGGAAAAAAGGUCCAAUUCUCUUUUUGGGUAAUAAAAAUAAA